CCUGAAGUAGCUGGAUUUCUGGAGUGUCUGACUCUGCCUCUGCUUCCACACAGCGAUGGGGAUUCUUCCUUAUCUCUGCGUCCUCCUGCUCUGUCUGACAGGUGUCCGGUCUGAGAUCGUGCUGAACCAGCCCGAGUCAGUUGUGAAAAAGCCGGGGGAGUCUCACAGACUGACCUGUACAGUGAGUGGGUUCAGCCUGGAUGGCUACUGGAUGCACUGGGUAAGACAGGUCCCCGGGAAAGGCCUGGAAUGGUUACUCAAUUACAAGCAGGGUGGCAGGAGUGAUUACGCGCCUGGAAUUCAAGGCAGAUUCGUCCCUUCAAGAGGCUCCACCACAGUCGCCUACCUGACCAUCAGCGAACUGAGAAUGGACGACACUGCCAUCUAUUACUGUGCGAGACACAGUGAGAGGAUACAGAGCACAGUGCUGGACUACUGGGGCAGCGGAACCUUUCUGGAAGUGACUUCAGAUGCCCAGACCAAACCUUCAGUUUAUGUUUCCAGUACUUCCUGUGACACAAGCUCCAAUCAAGAUCAGAUCAGCCUCCACUGUCUAGUCAAGGAUUUCCAGCCCAGGAGCAUCCAACAGACAUGGUCCAGUGACAAUAGAGAGAUCACAACUGGAUUCAAUAAGUAUCCCACAGUCUUGGGGCAAAAUAUGAAGUACACGAUGAGCAGUGUGCUCAGUGUCUCUGCGUCGGAUUGGAAUGCGGGCAAGGUCUACCACUGCAAGGCGGGCUACAAGGCAAAUGAAAUGGUGGAAGCUGAGACCACAAAGCCUCAGCCUCAAUCUCCCCAUGUCUUCUCUGUUGUUCCAUCUUGGGAGAUGGUCUACAAUCAAACUACUGCUGCCCUGGGGUGCAUACUAUCUGGAUUCUAUCCUGACAUUGUCCAGGUUUCCUGGUUUAAAGCCGGAGUGCUCCAAUGGGGUGCCAAACUCCCCUCCAAAAAGGCAAAAGGUUGUACAUUUGAAACAGCCUCUUACCUGACUGUACAGGUGGCGGAUUGGAAGAACGGGGAUGAAUUCACUUGUGCAGUGUCCCAUGAGCCGACCAGCUUCAAUACCAGGGUCAACAUGAAGUAUCGGGAGGAAGUGUCUGUCUUUCUCCGAAAUCCUUCAAUCAAAGAGCUUUGGAUCAACAAGACUGCCACCCUGGUGUGUACAGCAGUGUGUUCUGAUCCCAGCCAGGUACAGAUCACCUGGAAGGUAAAUCGGAGGCAGAGAAGUAAAGGGGUUACAGCUCAGAGAGAGGAAGGCACCCAAUACGUCAUCAUCAGCCAACUCCAAACCACAGCACAGGAGUGGGAGAGUGGGGUGGAGUUUGUGUGUUCUGCUCAAAGUGGUCCUUCCUCCUCAUCAGUGUCAAAGCGGACAAGGAGCCUAAGAGUUCCACAAAAAAGUCCCGAGGUCAGACUGCUGCCUCCACCAGCCCAAGAGACCAAGAAUCAGAGCAACGUUACACUCGAGUGUGUGAUCACUGGAUUCUACCCAGACCUCAUACAGGUCUCCUGGGAGAAGGACAGCAGCCUGAUCUCCUCCAACACCCAUGCUGGCCUCACUGCUCUGGAGCAGACAGGGACAUUCAGUGUCAGGCACUACCUGACCGUGAGCACAGAGGAGUGGAGGAAAGGUUCAGUCUUCACCUGUGCAGUGUCUCAUCCACCGUCCAACUUUACCAGCAGGAAGGAGGUGAAGAAUGUCCAAGAUGAAUGUUUGGACACUGGAAUCUUGGUCACCUUAAGCAAGCCUCCUUUUGAAGAGAUCUGGAGGAACAAAACAGCAACCAUUCUGUGUGAGAUACUUCACCAUGAUUUACAGGGAGUCAGGGUAACCUGGAAAGUGGAUGGAAUCAUGAGACAAGAUGGAGUGAAGACCCAGGGUCCCAAGAAGAAUGGACAUGAAGAGAUAAUCUUCAGUAGACUGACGGUCCCUGCUGCAGAAUGGGAGAGUGGCGUAGAGUACAUGUGUUUGGUCGAGGAUGAAAAUUUGCCAACGCCAGAGAAGAGGUUCAUUAGGAAAGCCCAAGUUGAGGUUAAGACUCACCCUCAACUCUACCUCCUGGCCCCUUCACCGGUUGAGAUGGAGACUGCUCACACUGCGACCCUGGUUUGCCUGGUCACUGGAUUCUCUCCCGCAGAUAUCUACCUGGCUUGGAUGGCCAAUGAUACCCUUCUGAAGACAGGGUUCAUUCAUCAGCCAGUGACUGAGGAUAGCAGAGGAGGCUGGAACUCAGGCAGUCACUUGACCGUCUCUGCAGAGGAGUGGGACAGCGGCACCACGUACUCCUGUGUGGUGGGACACGAGUCAGUCACAACAAAUGUGUUCAGAAGCAUGAAUAAAUCUCACAGCAAGCCCAACCUGGUUAAUGUCUCACUUGUUCUCACUGAAAGCUUCACCUCCUGUUCAUAACAACUUGCUGAUUCAAAUAAUCACCCAUUUAUAUAACCCCUGUAAAUGAGUGGUUAACACAACCAGAAAACUUGUGAGCACUUUGAAACCUUUCUCCUGGUAGCAAUGCACUUCCAACAUGAACAAAAUUCAACAUUGCUCAGUACUUGAGAGAAAAAGAAGUCUCCAAGUCAGACAACAUCAUUUUCUCCAGAUGCCUGAGAUCCUCAGGUCUUUUGAAACAUUUCUUUGUGCUGUUCCUGAUCAUUUGCGAAACACGUGAAACCCCACAGAAUGUUAAUUGUAUGUCAUUGUAUUGAUCAAAUUUCAAUAAACCUGACAUGAAAAGUUUCAAUGUUUUGUUUUGAGUGAUCAUUUCUGUGGUUAGGGAGAACAUAAAUGGAUGACUUGGGACAUGAACUGGGGUGAACGGAAAAUGUUCUGAAGAAAAGGAGCUUUGGAUCUUUACUUUACAAAGACCCCAACCCCAUUUUGAUUUGCUCACCAUAGGCCUUGAUUUAUUGUAGACUCAUUGAUGUGACCAAUUGCUCUGAUCACUUCACACUUUAAAUAUCAUUGUGUUCAUAUGUGGUACACAGCUUUGGUCUCUCUUGAAGCCCAAAUUUCAAAUUGCACACACUAAGUUCCAACAGUAAAAACCUUGGUAAUGAUCGGUUCACCUGCUUU